GGGACUGUAGCUCAGUUGGUUAGAGCGCGCGCCUGUCACGCGCGAGGUCGCGGGUUCGAGCCCCGUCAGUCCCGUCA
rnacentral:tRNA from 1 species